rnacentral:tRNA from 1 species
GGUGGGUUGCCCGAGCGGCCAAAGGGAUCUGACUGUAAAUCAGACGGCGAAGCCUUCGGGGGUUCGAAUCCCUCACCCACCA